AUGGGUGGGGCAGGCAAAACAACACUUGCUAGGAAGGUAUACACCUCAUCCGGAGUCAAACAACACUUCGAGGCACUGGUUUGGGUGACUGUAUCUCAAAAGUUCAAGGUCAUUGAUUUACUAAAGAUAAUUUCGAAGCAAAUAUCGAGUGAUGAAGAAGAAGCAACACAAGACGGUUUCAUUGAUAUCAUCGACAAAGCUAGUACAGGACAGGUUGGAGCAUCAUCGUCUCAUAGCUUGAUAUCCUAUCGGUGUUCUUUUCAAGACUCAAGUGAGCAGAUCUUGCAGGCAUCACCUAAUCUCAGAGCAUUGUUUGGCUUUGGGCUUUCAUCGGUAACUUUUCCUGAGGUAAGAUUCCUAAGAGUUCUUCAUGUCGAGAACUCGAGGCUAAAGAAUUUCUCCAAGGUAAUUGGUGGGUGCAUUCACCUACGACACCUGAGUUUGAGACGACAUGGACACCUGAUGAUUCCUUCUUCAAUCAGGAAACUCAUUUAUCUGCAAACUAUAGAUGUACCACAUUUAGAUGUAUCAAGCUCCCUCUGUGAUAUACCUACUCUAAGAUAUGUAGAUCUUUCUAGUACUUCUCUACCAAGGAGUGCGCAAAUUCCACAAACCCUACGGGAGCUUCAUAUGAGGGCUACUGCUGAUGAAAGCGAAAAAGACCCGAUGCCGAUCCUGGAGAUGCUUCCUUGUCUUGUAGUGCUGGAGUUGCAUCUUUAUAGCCCCGGAAUAAUGUCCUUUGGUGCCCAAGGGUUCCCUCGUCUGCAAGAGUUACGACUUGAUGGCUGUUCCUAUAACAAGUGGAUGAUGGAGGUUGGGACAAUGCCAAAGCUGUUCUGCUUGUCAUUUGUAGAGUGCGUGCUGGAGAAUGAAAUCCCAGAUGGAUUACUGCACCUUCCAUCCCUCAGGUUCGUAUCAGCGCUUCAUUUUGCUGAAGAUUAUUCAAAUAACAGCACGCUCGUUGCUCUGAGACACAAAGGAUGCAAGGUAACGCUGCCCCCCUCCUCCCUCGUGCGCUCCUUUAAUUCUCAUUUAACUACUACCAGGUUUGACAACGCCCUGCCUUUUGCAGAUCAGAGGGCGUUAUGCCGGUUUUCUCCCCGACAGAGAUGA
rnacentral:rRNA from 1 species